rnacentral:rRNA from 1 species
UACGUAGGGGGCAAGCGUUGUCCGGAAUUAUUGGGCGUAAGGAGCGUGUAGGCGGUCCGGUAAGUCAGCUGUGAAAGUCAAGGGCUCAACCCUUGAAAGCCGGUUGAUACUGUCGGGCUAGAGUCCGGAAGAGGCGAGUGGAAUUCCCGGUGUAGCGGUGAAAUGCGCAGAUAUCGGGAGGAACACCAAUGGCGAAGGCAGCUCGCUGGGACGGUACUGACGCUGAGACGCGAAAGCGUGGGGAGCAAACAGG